AGGGAGGAGGAGGCAGGAGGAGGAGGAGGAGGAGGAGCAGACGGGAGGUAUGAAGAAGCGCUCUGACUUCCUCAACCCUCAGGAGAAACGGGCGCGGAGCUUCAGGGUGACUCCAGGACAGAGCCGCUCUUCUUACCAGGUGCAUCAUGGUCCUGAACGUCGCGUCCAGCAUCAUCAGCUUCCAGGGCUUCUCGAUGGCGUCCGGCAGCGGUUGGUAGAUGUAAUAAGCGACCGCGACGGUCAGCAGCGCGGCAACCACAAGCGGCUUCCACUUCAUCUUGGUGCAUCUGUCAGCUGCAGCUCCUCCUGUCAACCUAUUAUGUCAAUCGUACCCGACCGGAAGUGAGCUGAGGGGACUUCCGCUUAAGCUAAAACUCAAUCUUGGUCCUCGGAGUAAAUUCAAAUAUCUACAAUUAAUUUGUUUAAAGACACACUUUGGAUUUAUUUUAUGUUGCGGAGUAAAACAGUCUUCAUGUCCGAAAUUUCUUUUGUAAAUUAAUUCACAUUUCUUUAACAAUACUUUUAUUCUGAAAGGCCAGCAGUUGCACGAAGGGGUUUCUGGGAAUUUGAGUGUUUGAUUAAAUUUGCUCAAACUGUACUGCACGUUUGUGACCACUGAAGGACGCUGUAAACUUACCGAUCCAUUCAAAGAAAUAAAGUUAAGCAGAUUAAAAUAAAACGAAAUAAAUAGUAUUAUUAUUAAGAAA